rnacentral:rRNA from 1 species
CCUACGGGAGGCAGCAGUGAGGAAUAUUGGUCAAUGGGCGGGAGCCUGAACCAGCCAAGCCGCGUGAGGGAAGAAGGUACAGCGUAUCGUAAACCUCUUUUGUCAGGGAACAAAGACUGGGACGCGUCCCCGGAUGAGUGUACCUGAAGAAAAAGCAUCGGCUAACUCCGUGCCAGCAGCCGCGGGAAUACGGAGGAUGCGAGCGUUAUCCGGAUUUCUUGGGUUUAAGGGGUGCGCAGGCGGUCUGUUAAGUCAGCGGUCAAAGCCCGGGGCCCACCCCCGGCCCGCCGUUGAAACUGGCAGUCGCGAGUUGGAGAGAAGUAUGCGGAAUGCGCGGUGUAGCGGUGAAAUGCAUAGAUAUCGCGCAGAACUCCGAUUGCGAAGGCAGCAUGCCGGCUCCACACUGACGCUGAGGCACGAAAGCGUGGGUAUCGAACAGGAUUAGAUACCCGAGUAGUC